AGUAACGCGUGGGCAACCUGCCCCAUAGAGGGGGACAACAGCUGGAAACGGCUGCUAAUACCGCAUAACAAGGAGAGAGCGCAUGUUCUUUUCUUCAAAGAUUUAUCGCUAUGGGAUGGACCCGCGCCUGAUUAGCUGGUUGGUGAGGUAACGGCUCACCAAGGCGACGAUCAGUAGCCGGCUUGAGAGAGUGGACGGCCACAUUGGGACUGAGACACGGCCCAGACUCCUACGGAAGGCAGCAG
rnacentral:rRNA from 1 species